CCUACGGGGGGCAGCAGUGGGGAAUAUUGCGCAAUGGGCGAAAGCCUGACGCAGCGACGCCGCGUGAGGGAUGAAGGUCUUCGGAUCGUAAACCUUUGUCAGCAGGGAAGAACGGUCACUGUGCUAAUCAGCAGUGAAUUGACGGUACCUGCAAAGGAAGCACCGGCUAACUCCGUGCCAGCAGCCGCGGUAAUACGGAGGGUGCGAGCGUUAAUCGGAAUUACUGGGCGUAAAGCGCUCGUAGGCGGUAUGUCAAGUCAAGGGUGAAAUCCCCGCGCUCAACGUGGGAACUGCCUUUGAAACUGGCAAACUGGAGUGUGUGAGAGGAUAGUGGAAUUCCAGGUGUAGGAGUGAAAGCCGUAGAUAUCUGGAGGAACAUCAGUGGCGAAGGCGACUAUCUGGCACAUAACUGACGCUGAGGAGCGAAAGCGUGGGUAGCAAACAGGAUUAGAUACCUUUGUAGUC
rnacentral:rRNA from 1 species